UCUAAAAUGGCAGAUAAGUGCAUUGGGCCUAAGCCCCAAAAAUAAGAUAUUAUUAUGUCUUCUUUAGAA
rnacentral:tRNA from 1 species